CGUAGGGUGCGAGCGUUGUCCGGAAUUAUUGGGCGUAAAGGGCUCGUAGGCGGUUUGUCGCGUCGGGAGUGAAAACACCGGGCUUAACUCGGUGCUUGCUUUCGAUACGGGCAGACUUGAGGCAUGCAGGGGAGAACGGAAUUCCUGGUGUAGCGGUGAAAUGCGCAGAUAUCAGGAGGAACACCGGUGGCGAAGGCGGUUCUCUGGGCAUGUUCUGACGCUGAGGAGCGAAAGUGUGGGGAGCGAACAGGAUU
rnacentral:rRNA from 1 species